AUCCUCCGGUUUCUCUUCAGAUCGUAUAAAUCUUUCGCCUUUUACUAAAGAUUUCCAUGGAGAGGAACGCGUACGAGUCUUACGAAAGUUUUUGCGGCUCCAUCACGGUGGAGCC